CGCUAUCACUCCUACGGGAGGCAGCAGUGGGGAAUAUUGGACAAUGGGCGAAAGCCUGAUCCAGCCAUGCCGCGUGUGUGAAGAAGGCCUUUGGUUGUAAAGCACUUUAAGCGAGGAGGAGGCUACUUGGAUUAAUACUCUAGGAUAGUGGACGUUACUCGCAGAAUAAGCACCGGCUAACUCUGUGCCAGCAGCCGCGGUAAUACAGAGGGUGCGAGCGUUAAUCGGAUUUACUGGGCGUAAAGCGUGCGUAGGCGGCUUUUUAAGUCGGAUGUGAAAUCCCCUGAGCUUAACUUAGGAAUUGCAUUCGAUACUGGGAAGCUAGAGUAUGGGAGAGGAUGGUAGAAUUCCAGGUGUAGCGGUGAAAUGCGUAGAGAUCUGGAGGAAUACCGAUGGCGAAGGCAGCCAUCUGGCCUAAUACUGACGCUGAGGUACGAAAGCAUGGGGAGCAAACAGGAUUAGAUACCCUGGUAG
rnacentral:rRNA from 1 species